GACGAACGCUGGCGGCGUGCUUAACACAUGCAAGUCGAACGGAGUGGCGAACGGGUGAGUGACACGUGGGUGACCUGCCCUGCACUUCGGGAUAAGCCUGGGAAACUGGGGCUAAUACCGGAUAGUGUGGGAUGGGCCCGCGGCCGAUCAGCUUUUGGGUGGGGUAAUGGCCGACCAAGGCGGCGACGGGUAGCCGGCCUGAGAGGGUGGACGGCCACAUUGGGCCUGAGACACGGCCCAGACUCCUACGGGAGGCAGCAGUGGGGAAUAUUGCGCAAUGGGCGGAAUCCUGAUGCAGAGACGCCGCGUGGGGGAUGCCGUCGUUCGGGUUGUAAACUCCGUUCACCAUCGACGCGGUAGAUGGAGAAGAAGAACCGGCUAACUACGUGCCAACAGCCGCGGUAAUUC
rnacentral:rRNA from 1 species